UACGGGGGGGGCAAGCGUUGUUCGGAAUUACUGGGCGUAAAGGGCUCGUAGGCGGCCAACUAAGUCAGACGUGAAAUCCCCAGGCUUAACCUGGGAACUGCGUCUGAUACUGGAUGGCUUGAGAUUGGGAGAGGGAUGCGGAAUUCCAGGUGUAGCGGUGAAAUGCGUAGAUAUCAGGAGGAACACCUGCGGUGUAGACGGCUUACUGGACCAUAACUGACGCUGAGGCACGAAAGCGUGGGUAGCAAACAGG
rnacentral:rRNA from 1 species